rnacentral:rRNA from 1 species
UACGGAGGGUGCAACCGUUGCUCGGAAUCAUUGGGCGUAAAGCGCACGUAGGCGGCCCAGCCAGUCGGGUGUGAAAGCCCUCGGCUUAACCGAGGAAGUGCAUUCGAAACUACUGGGCUUGAGUACUGAAGAGGAUCGCGGAAUUCCCGGUGUAGAGGUGAAAUUCGUAGAUAUCGGGAGGAACACCAGUGGCGAAGGCGGCGAUCUGGGCAGAUACUGACGCUGAUGUGCGAAAGCGUGGGGAGCAAACAGG